UACGUAGGGUGCGAGCGUUAAUCGGAAUUACUGGGCGUAAAGCGUGCGCAGGCGGUUUUGUAAGCCAGAUGUGAAAUCCCCGGGCUCAACCUGGGAAUGGCAUUUGGGACUGCAAGGCUUGAGUGCGGCAGAGGAGACUGGAAUUCCUGGUGUAGCAGUGAAAUGCGUAGAUAUCAGGAGGAAUACCGAUGGCGAAGGCAGGUCUCUGGGCUGACACUGACGCUCAGGCACGAAAGCGUGGGGAGCAAAAGGG
rnacentral:rRNA from 1 species